rnacentral:rRNA from 1 species
UGAACGCUGGCGGUAUGCUUAACACAUGCAAGUCGAACGGUGUCUUCGGACAUAGUGGCGGACGGGUGAGUAACGCGUGAGAAUCUAGCUUCAGGUCUGGGACAACCACUGGAAACGGUGGCUAAUACCGGAUGUGCCGGAAGGUGAAAGGCUUGCUGCCUGAAGAUGAGCUCGCGUCCGAUUAGCUAGUAGGUGGGGUAAGAGCCUACCUAGGCGACGAUCGGUAGCUGGUCUGAGAGGAUGACCAGCCACACUGGGACUGAGACACGGCCCAGACUCCUACGGGAGGCAGCAGUGGGGAAUUUUCCGCAAUGGGCGAAAGCCUGACGGAGCAAUACCGCGUGAGGGAGGAAGGCUCUUGGGUUGUAAACCUCUUUUCUCAGGGAAGAACACAAUGACGGUACCUGAGGAAUCAGCAUCGGCUAACUCCGUGCCAGCAGCCGCGGUAAUACGGAGGAUGCAAGCGUUAUCCGGAAUGAUUGGGCGUAAAGCGUCCGCAGGUGGCUGUGUAAGUCUGCUGUCAAAGAGCAAAGCUCAACUUUGUAAAGGCAGUGGAAACUACACGGCUAGAGUGCGUUCGGGGCGGAGGGAAUUCCUGGUGUAGCGGUGAAAUGCGUAGAGAUCAGGAAGAACACCGGUGGCGAAGGCGCUCUGCUAGGCCGCAACUGACACUGAGGGACGAAAGCUAGGGGAGCGAAUGGGAUUAGAUACCCCAGUAGUCCUAGCUGUAAAC